CCUAAGGUAGCGAAAUUCCUUGUCGGGUAAGUUCCGACCUGCACGAAUGGCGUAACGACUUCCCCACUGUCUCGACCAGGAGCUCGGCGAAAUUGCAGUACGAGUAAAGAUGCUCGUUAAGCGCAGAAGGACGAAAAGACCCCGGGACCUUUACUAUACCUUGGUAUUGGCAUUCGGUGUGGAUUGUGUAGCAUAGGCGGAAGGCUUCGAAGCCACGGCGCCAGCCGCGGUGGAGCCGCAAGGUGAAAUACCGCUCUGUUCGCAUUGGAUGUCUAACCUCGAACAGUCAUCCUGUUCAGGGACAGUGCCUGGCGGGUAGUUUAACUGGGGCGGUUGCCUCCCAAAGAGUAACGGAGGCGCUCAAAGGUCCGCUCAGCCCGGUUGGCAAUCGGGUGGCGAGUGCAAGUGCACAAGCGGGCUUGACUGCGAGGACGACGGUCCGAGCAGGGACGAAAGUCGGGACUAGUGAUCCGGUGCCGGUGUACGGACGCGGCAUCGCUCAACGGAUAAAAGGUACCCCGGGGAUAACAGGCUGAUCAUUCCCAAGAGUCCAUAUCGACGGGAUGGUUUGGCACCUCGAUGUCGGCUCGUCGCAUCCUGGGGCUGGAGCAGGUCCCAAGGGUUCGGCUGUUCGCCGAUUAAAGCGGCACGCGAGCUGGGUUCAGAACGUCGUGAGACAGUUUGGUCUCUAUCCUCUGCGCUCGUUGGAAUCCUGAGGAGGCCUGCCCAUAGUACGAGAGGACCUGGGUGGACGAACCUCUGGUAUGCCGGUUGUCACGCCAGUGGCACGGCCGGUUGGCUACGUUCGGAAGGGAUAACCGCUGAAAGCAUCUAAGCGGGAAGCCUGCUCCAAGAUAAGCAUUCCGUGGAACCUUCGAGUUCCUGUAGUCCCCAUGCAGAACACGUGGUCGAUAGGCCGGACGUGGAAGCCCCGCGAGGGGUGGAGCCGACCGGUACUAAUGGUCGAGAGGCAACCCAC
rnacentral:rRNA from 1 species